rnacentral:rRNA from 1 species
CAACCUCAAAUCAGGUAGGGACACCCGCUGAACUUAAGCAUAUCAAUAAGCGGAGGAAAAGAAAAUAACAAUGAUUCCCUUAGUAACUGCGAGUGAAGAGGGAUAAGCUCAAAUUUUAAAUCUGUUAGGUAUACCUAGCCGAGUUGUAAUUUGAGGAGACGUUUUCUCGCUCUUGGUCAACCCAAGUCCUAUUGAAUGAGGCAUCGUGGAGGGUGAUAAUCCCGUACGGUUGAUCAAUGCGUUUUAUGAUACGUUUUCAAAGAGUCAAGUUGCUUGGGAUUGCAGCUUAAAAUGGGAGGUAAAUUUCUCCUAAGGCUAAAUAUUGGUGAGAGACCGAUAGCGAACAAGUACCGUGAGGGAAAGAUGAAAAGUAUUUUGAAAAGAAGGUCAAAUAGUACGUGAAAUUGUUGAAAGGGAAACGAUUGAAGUCAGUCGUACCGACGAGCAAUCAGCCUUUUGGGUGCGAUUAUGUGGUAUAUGAAAAGAUUUCGUGAAUUGCAUAUUUGUGCAUUUUGGGUGUAUUUGCUCGUAUGGUUGGCUAACAUCAAUUCUGGUCAUCAUAAAAUGACGGGAGGAAUGUAGCUUUCUCGGAAGUAUUAUAGCCUCUGGUAGAUGUGAUGAUUGGGAUUGAGGAUUGCAACGAAUACCCUCUGGGCUACCCGCCUGGUCUCUGGUCGUCGCUUUGGUGCCGAAAGCGUGCUUACGGUUUCAAAGUUAGGUGGCCAAAAGGUUAGAACGGGUUAAAUUCGUUAAGGAUGUUGACGUAAUGGCUUUAAACAACCCGUCUUGAAACACGGACCAAGGAGUCUAACAUGUAUGCGAGUGUU